rnacentral:rRNA from 1 species
AGUGUUGUCGUCAGCUCGUGUCGUGAGAUGUUGGGUUAAGUCCCGCAACGAGCGCAACCCUUGCCUUUAGUUACCAGCACGUUAUGGUGGGCACUCUAAGGAGACUGCCGGUGACAAACCGGAGGAAGGUGGGGAUGACGUCAAGUCAUCAUGGCCCUUACGGCCUGGGCUACACACGUGCUACAAUGGUCGGUACAAAGGGUUGCCAAGCCGCGAGGUGGAGCUAAUCCCAUAAAACCGAUCGUAGUCCGGAUCGCAGUCUGCAACUCGACUGCGUGAAGUCGGAAUCGCUAGUAAUCGUGAAUCAGAAUGUCACGGUGAAUACGUUCCCGGGCCUU